rnacentral:rRNA from 1 species
AGAGCGAACGCUGGCGGCGUGCUUAACACAUGCAAGUCGAACGCGCAGCAUUCUGUAGCAAUACAGGAUGUGGGCGCGUGGCGAACGGGUGCGUAACACGUGGAUAACCUUCCUUCAGGUGGGGAAUAACCCAGCGAAAGUUGGGCUAAUACCGCAUAACAUGACGAUGCCACAUGGUGUUGUCUUCAAAGGCGCAAGUCGCCAGAAGAGGGAUCCGCGGCCGAUUAGCUUGUUGGCGAGGUAAUGGCUCACCAAGGCAUUGAUCGGUAGCCGGACUGAGAGGUUGGCCGGCCACACUGGAACUGAGACACGGUCCAGACUCCUACGGGAGGCAGCAGUGGGGAAUCUUGCACAAUGGACGAAAGUCUGAUGCAGCAACGCCGCGUGGGGGAUGAAGCUUCUCGGAGUGUAACCCCUUUCGACCCGGACGAAUGCCCGCAAGGGUUUGACGGUACGGGUAUAAGAAGCCCGGCUAACUACGUGCCAGCA